CCUACGGGUGGCAGCAGUGGGGAAUAUUGCACAAUGGGGGAAACUCUGAUCCAGCGACGUCGCGUGAAGGAAGAAGUAUUUCGGUAUGUAAACCUCCAUCAGCAGGGAAGAAAAUGACGGUACCUGACUAAGAAGCCCCGGCUAACUACGUGCCAGCAGCCGCGGUAAUAGGUAGGGGGCAAGCGUUAUUCGGAUUUAUUGGGUUUUAAGGGUGCGUAGGCGGGUGGUUAAGUCGGCGGUAAAAGCCCGGGGCUCAACCCCGGCGAGCCGUUGAAACCGGCUGUCUUGAGAUGUCGAGAGGUAUGCGGAAUGCGCGGUGUAGCGGUGAAAUGCUUAGAUAUUGCGCAGAACUCCGAUUGCGAAGGCAGCAUACCGGCGGCGAUCUGACGCUGAGGCACGAAAGCGUGGGUAUCGAACAGGAUUAGAUACCCGUGUAGUC
rnacentral:rRNA from 1 species